rnacentral:rRNA from 1 species
UACGUAGGUGGCAAGCGUUAUCCGGAAUUAUUGGGCGUAAAGAGCGCGCAGGUGGUUAAUUAAGUCUGAUGUGAAAGCCCACGGCUUAACCGUGGAGGGUCAUUGGAAACUGGUUGACUUGAGUGCAGAAGAGGGAAGUGGAAUUUCAUGUGUAGCGGUGAAAUGCGUAGAGAUAUGGAGGAACACCAGUGGCGAAGGCGGCUUCCUGGUCUGCAACUGACACUGAGGCGCGAAAGCGUGGGGAGCAAACAGG